CGUGUAGGCGGCUCUGCAAGUCAGAUGUGAAAUUCCCGGGCUUAACCCGGGCGCUGCAUCUGAAACUGCAGAACUUGAGUACUGGAGAGGAUAGUGGAAUUCCUAGUGUAGCGGUAAAAUGCGUAGAUAUUAGGAGGAACACCAGUGGCGAAGGCGGCUAUCUGGACAGUAACUGACGCUGAGGCGCGAAAGCGUGGGGAGCAAACA
rnacentral:rRNA from 1 species